rnacentral:miRNA from 1 species
UUUAAAAUCGGUUCUUAAAUAACCGAUUUUAAAAGUAGCACUUUUAAAAUCAGUCAUAAAAUAACCGAUUUUAAA